rnacentral:sRNA from 1 species
CUUGGUCAUUUAGAGGAAGUAAAAGUCGUAACAAGGUCUCCGUUGGUGAACCAGCGGAGGGAUCAUUAAAGAGUUGCAAAACUCCCUUUAAACCAUCGCGAACGUUACCCACGACGCCGUUGCCUCGGCGGAGCGUCGCCCCGUGCCGUCAAAAGUACGGGGCGUGCGCCCGCCGGGAGACCGGCACAACCAAACUCUUAUAACCAUUGGCCUCUCUGAGUAAGAUUUUUAAAUAAGUCAAAACUUUCAACAACGGAUCUCUUGGUUCUGGCAUCGAUGAAGAACGCAGCGAAAUGCGAUAAGUAAUGUGAAUUGCAGAAUUCAGUGAAUCAUCGAAUCUUUGAACGCACAUUGCGCCCUUUGGUAUUCCGAAGGGCAUGCCUGUUCGAGCGUCAUUAUCACCCCUCAAGCCCUCGGCUUGGUGUUGGACGGUUUGGUGGAGGCCCCCUCGGGGGCUCCUGCCCCUCCCAAAGACAAUGACGGCGGCCUCGUUGGACCCCCGGUACACUGAGUUCUUCACGGGACACGUAUCGGACACAUGGGUUUACGGGACACGGUCUGCCUCCCCUCAGGGAGAAUCUUUCUAAGGUUGACCUCGGAUCAGGUAGGGAUACCCGCUGAACUUAAGCAUAUCAAUAAGCGGAGGAAAAGAAACCAACAGGGAUUGCCUCAGUAACGGCGAGUGAAGCGGCAACAGCUCAAAUUUGAAAUCUGGCCUCUUUGGGGUCCGAGUUGUAAUUUGUAGAGGAUGUUUCGGGUACCGCCUCGGUUUAAAUUUCUUGGAACAGAAUGUCAAAGAGGGUGAGAAUCCCGUCUUGGACCGGCGGUAGGGCCCAUGUGAAACUCCUUCGACGAGUCGAGUUGUUUGGGAAU